rnacentral:rRNA from 1 species
AGCAGUAGCCGCGGUAAUACGAGGGGGGCAAGCGUUGUUCGGAAUUAUUGGGCGUAAAGGGCGCGUAGGCGGUUUGACAAGUUUGGUGUGAAAUCUAUGGGCUCAACCCAUAGCCUGCGUCGAAAACUGUCGGGCUUGAGUAUGGGAGAGGUGAGUGGGAUUUCCGGUGUAGCGGUGAAAUGCGUAGAUAUCGGAAGGAACACCUGUGGCGAAAGCGGCUCACUGGACCAUUACUGACGCUGAGGCGCGAAAGCUAGGGGAGCAAACAGGAUUAGAGACCCCAGUAGUCCCGUCUCUUAUACA